rnacentral:rRNA from 1 species
UUCCGUAGGGUAACCUGCGGAAGGAUCAUUACAGUAUUCUUUUGCCAGCGCUUAACUGCGCGGCGAAAAACCUUACACACAGUGUCUUUUUGAUACAGAACUCUUGCUUUGGUUUGGCCUAGAGAUAGGUUGGGCCAGAGGUUUAACAAAACACAAUUUAAUUAUUUUUAUUGAUAGUCAAAUUUUGAAUUAAUCUUCAAAACUUUCAACAACGGAUCUCUUGGUUCUCGCAUCGAUGAAGAACGCAGCGAAAUGCGAUAAGUAAUAUGAAUUGCAGAUUUUCGUGAAUCAUCGAAUCUUUGAACGCACAUUGCGCCCUCUGGUAUUCCAGAGGGCAUGCCUGUUUGAGCGUCAUUUCUCUCUCAAACCCCCGGGUUUGGUAUUGAGUGAUACUCUUAGUCGAACUAGGCGUUUGCUUGAAAAGUAUUGGCAUGGGUAGUACUGGAUAGUGCUGUCGUCCUCUCAAUGUAUUAGGUUUAUCCAACUCGUUGAAUGGUGUGGCGAGAUAUUUCUGGUAUUGUUGGCCCGGCCAUACAACAACCAAACAAGUUGACCUCAAAU